GCCGGCAUGGUGAAAUUGGUAGACACAGCAGACUCAAAAUCUGCCGGGGCGACCCUUGCCGGUCCGAGUCCGGCUGCCGGCA
rnacentral:tRNA from 1 species